GACGAACGCUGGCGGCGCGCCUAACACAUGCAAGUCGAACGGAGCUGAGAGAAGCUUGCUUUUCUUAGCUUAGUGGCGAACGGGUGAGUAACGCGUGAGUAACCUGCCCUGGAGUGGGGGACAACAGUUGGAAACGACUGCUAAUACCGCAUAAGCCCACGAUCCGGCAUCGGAUUGAGGGAAAAGGAUUUAUUCGCUUCAGGAUGGACUCGCGUCCAAUUAGCUAGUUGGUGAGGUAACGACCCACCAAGGCGACGAUUGGUAGCCGGACUGAGAGGUUGAACGGCCACAUUGGGACUGAGACGCGGCCCAGACUCCUACGGGAGGCAGCAGUGGGGGAUAUUGCACAAUGGGGGAAACCCUGAUGCAGCGACGCCGCGUGGAGGAAGAAGGUUUUCGGAUUGUAAACUCCUGUCGUUAGGGACGAUAAUGACGGUACCUAACAAGAAAGCACCGGCUAACUACGUG
rnacentral:rRNA from 1 species